AACGAACGCUGGCGGCAGGCCUAACACAUGCAAGUCGAACGCCGUAGCAAUACGGAGUGGCAGACGGGCGAGUAACGCGUGGGAACCUUCCCAAUGGUACGGAAUAGCUCAGGGAAACUUGGGGUAAUACCGUAUAAGCCCGAGAGGGGAAAGAUUUAUCGCCAUUGGAUGGGCCCGCGUAGGAUUAGCUAGUUGGUGAGGUAAUGGCUCACCAAGGCGACGAUCCUUAGCUGGUCUGAGAGGACGAUCAGCCACACUGGGACUGAGACACGGCCCAGACUCCUACGGGAGGCAGCAGUGGGGAAUAUUGGACAAUGGGCGAAAGCCUGAUCCAGCCAUGCCGCGUGAGUGAUGAAGGCCUUAGGGUUGUAAUGCUCUUUUGGCGGGGAAGAUAAUGACGGUACCCGCAGAAUAAGCCCCGGCUAACUUCGUGCCAGCCACCGCGGUAACAC
rnacentral:rRNA from 1 species